CUAAAGGCGGUGCUCCAGUAUGGCUGCAGUCAAAUGACUGAAACGAGUAAAAGAGUAGCCAGGACAAUGAUGGAUUAGAAAUAGUUCAGGUAGCUAUUACCUCUAAAUGACAAUAAGGCUUUCCCUUUCAGCGUGAAAGGCAGAUUUUUCUAAUGCUUGCAUGGUAGUGAAUGUGGGCCUUGAAUCAGACGUGUGAAGGACAGAAAGAAAUGAAGCUGCAUGUUCUGUUGGAUGGAUAAUGCUAGUGUACAUGAACACUUGGAUACAAAUGAGCUGAGAGAAAAACUGGAUCAUCAUCAUCAUCAUCAUCAUCAUCAUCGUCUAACGUCCGCUUUCCAUGCUAGCAUGGGUUGGACGGUUCAACUAGGGUCUGGCAAGCCCGAAGGCUGCACCAGGCUCCAGUCAGAUCUGGCAGUGUUUCUACAGCUGGAUGCCCUUCCUAACGCCAACCACUCCGAGAGUGUAGUGGGUGCUUUUAUGUGCCACCAACACAGGUGCCAGACGAGGCUGGCAGACGGCCACGCUCGGAUGGUGUUUUUUAUGUGCCACCGACACAGGUGCCAGACGAGGCUGGCAAACGGCCACGCUCGGAUGGUGUUUUUUAUGUGCCACCAACACAGGUGCCAGACGAGGCUGGCAAACGGCCACGCUCGGAUGGUGUUUUUUAUGUGCCACCGACACAGGUGCCAGACGAGGCUGGCAGACGGCCACGCUUGGAUGGUGUUUUUUAUGUGCCACCAACACAGGUGCCAGACGAGGCUGGCAGACGGCCACGCUCGGAUGGUGUUUUUUAUGUGCCACCAACACAGGUGCCAGACGAGGCUGGCAAACGGCCACGCUCGGAUGGUGUUUAUAAAAGAAAUUCAGUGUAGUGUACAAGUGAGAAUGCUGCAUCAGUAUGUGCAUGUGAUGCAUAUGGAGAAUGACUGCUGCAUAAAGAAGUGCUAUAAGAAGUUCCAAGUUAAUGGAACCUGUGGGAAAGGGAGACCAAGGAAGACUCGGGGAUGAAGUGAAGGCUGAUCUGAAGAUAUUGCAUCUCACAGAGAGAAUGACAACCAUGCUGAUUGGUGGUAUGUGAUACUACAGAACACCUGACCACCUGCAGCAAAACCUACUCAAACAUGCAUUGUAUCUCUUCCUAACAACCAUCACCUUACAUCCUCUGAGCUCCCUCUAUUCAUUCUUCCACUAGGUCUCUCGAUCAAAGAUUGUAUUGGUUCAUACUUGUCCUAUAUAUAUAUAUAUAUAUAUAUAUCAUCAUCAUCAUCAUCAUUUAGCAUCCGCUUUCUAUGCUAGCACGGGUUGGACGGUUCAACUGGGGUCUGGGAAGCCAGAAGGCUGCACCAGGCCCAGUCUGAUCUGGCAGUGUUUCUACGACUGGAUACCCUUCCUAAUGCCAACCACUCCAUGAGUGUAGUGGGUGCUUUUUAUGUGCCACCCGCACAGUAUAUAUAUAUGUGUAUUUUAUGCUUCAGCCCAAAGGGUGUGGCCAUGCUGGAGCAUAUGUAUACACACACACACACAUACCCAUACAUACAUGUGUGUGUGCGUGCAUGUCUGUGCACCAUAUAGUAGGUAACUUUGGAAAUAUACUUUUUCCACCAGGAAAUAAUUAUAAUAUCAGGAAAUAAUUAUAAUUUAACUUUUAACAAAUUUUUUUGGUGCUUAUACAAUAUCCGAAAGGAAUAUUAAUGUUCAAAAGAAAAAUAUUUAUUACUUUAAAAUAAAAUUAAAUAAAACAAAUUUCUCGUUUCUAUAACUCCUCUCAUAAUUAGUCAUUUAUUUCUUCUUCUCCUCCUCUUCUGUCUCUAUCAUUCUACCUCUCUUAUUCAGUGUGUAUAUGUGUAUGUAUGGUGUUCCUCUGUUCAUUGCCUGCCACCAAGCCUUCUAUGCGCAUUCAUUCUGCACCUCAUAUGUCAGCUUUCUCUGUAUCUCUGUUUUACUUUCAUCACUUUAUAUUCUGAGUUUAAAUCCUGUUGAGAUUUAAACUCUACUUUGAUUUUCUCAUAGUUUUGAAGUCAAGAAAGUAGCCAUCAAAUAAUCGACUGAUCUCUUACCCUCAAAAUUAUUGGUCUUGUAUCUAACUCAAAAAACACUACUAUUAGUAUUAUUACGGGUGGCAGGAUCAUAUGAGCAUUGAAUAAAAUGCCUUGCAGUAUUUCAUCCAAUUCUUUAGGUUCUGAGUUCAAAUUGUACUGAGGUCAACUUUCUCUUUCAUCCUUUGGGAGUUGCUUAAAUGAAUUACUAACCAAAUACUGAGAUCAGUGAACUAUAUGAUGUAAAGUGUGAUUGGAGAAAUCAAGCAACAGAUUAACAUUUAUGUUGGCUAUUAUAUAUGUUUAUGUAUAUACCCAUGCACACAUCUGUAUCAUUUACAUGCACAUAUCACACACACACACACACACACACACACACACACACACACACACACACACACACACACACAUAUAUGUGUAAAGAACUGUACACUUCGUCAACCUGGAGAAAGCCUUUGACAGUGUUCCUUUCUCUCUGAUCUGGUGGUCAUUGGUGAAGCUAAGGGUAGACGAAUGGCUGCUGAGAGUCAUUCAAGCCAUGUACAGACAUGCUGUUUGUCAGAUAAAUGUUAGCAGAGAGUAUGAUAGCAAAUUUAGUGUGCAAGUAAGAGUUCACUGGGUUCAGCUCUCAGUUUCAUCCUACUCAUCAUAGUCCUUCAGACCAUAACAGAGGAACUUAAGACUAGGUUCUUGUAGGAACUCCACUAUGCUGAUGAUUCUGCUCUUAUAGCUGAAUCUGUCAUAGAAUUAGAAAAAUUCCAUGUGCAGAAGCGAAACCUGGGAUCAGAGGGCCUUAAAUUUAACUUACCAAAGUUUUACUUGGCAAGAAAACAGACAGUACACUAUUUCCUUCAGGAAAAUGACCAUGUUGGUAGAGAUUUCAUAUGAUGUGCCCAGAGCAAAUUAUAAAUACAUAAGGUGUGUAAGUGGAAUCAUAUGAUGCUUGACAGAGAGAACAAAGAUUGUCUGUGGCAGAUGUGCUGGAGUAAUAAGCAGUAGGAACAUCCAGAAAAUAGAUUUCUUAAAUGCCCAUGUGGCUCCUUAGUGGAUAGUUUCUGUCACCUAGAUUGCCUUAUUAACUGUGGAGGAGGAUGUUUUGAGAGUGUAGUUGUUAGAAUAGGACUAGGUGGAGAAAGUUCAGAGAGCUAUUAACUUUGCUAGUAACAUAAGGCCUCUCACUCAGAGUGACAGGCAGUUUGUAUGAUGCUUGUGCAUGAACAGCAGUGCUUAUAUGGUAGUGAAAUGUAGGCCAUAAAUGCAGAAGACGUGUGAAGACUAGAGAUAAAUGAAGCUAGCAUACUUCACUGGAUGUGCAGCGUUAGUGUGUGUGUGCAACAAAGUGCAAAUGUGUUGAGAGAAAAUUGGGCAUAAGAGGCAUCAGAUGUAGUAUGCAAAAGAAAAAAUAAAUUGCACUGGUAUGGUCAUGGGAUGAGUAUGGAUGAUGACAGCUGCAUAAAGAAGUGAUGAUUGCUAAAUGUGGAUGAAACCUGUGGAAGAAGGAAACCCAGGGAAAUCAGAUGCAAAAUAGUGAAGGCUGAUUCCAGGUUGUUGAGCCUCUCAGAGGAGAAGACAAGAGACUGAGAUGAAUGAUUUAUCAUGCCUUGAGAAAAUCCAUCCAUCUUAGCCAAAAAAAUGAGGCCCUGAAAACAUAUUGUUCAUGUCUAUGCUACUUGCACUCCAUCAGUGCUUGUCAGGCCUUCCCCACUACUUCACUUUGCAACACCUAUCCUUCCUUCACUUUCUGACUGUAGUACUAUUUAUUCUGCUGCUGUAAUUAUAUGUGAACAGAACCCCACAUAUUUCAUCCCUAUUUUUGUGCUACUAGUUAUCCCUGAUUUGUCACCCAUCCCACAUUCUCAACAUUUUGUCGAUCACAUUUAUCUGUCCAAUUAAUAUAGACGGACUAAAAACGAUGCAAAACCUUGUGGCUUAAAUAUGCCUUGAUAGGAAUUUUACUUGGUGAAUAUGUUUUUAAACCUGUCUUAACAUUCAAAACAAUCUUACAGCAUUUCCAUUUGAUUCUGGAUAAUAUAGAUGUAUUUUCAUAGGUUUAAAUGUGAUCUUAUUUAGCCAUGUAUCCAAGCCAUUAUUUAGAAAUUGUGUGGUAAGUAGCUUGUUUACCAACCACAUGGUUCCAGGUUCAGUCCCACUGCGUGGCAUCUUGGGCAAAUGUCUUCUACUAUAGCCUUGGGCCGACCAAAGCCUUGUGAGUGGAUUUGGUAGACGGAAACUGAAAGAAGUCCAUUGUAUAUAUGUGUAUGUGUGUGUGUUUGUGUGUCUGUGUUUGUCCCCCUAGCAUUGCUUGACAACCGAUGCUGGUGUGUUCAUGUCCCCGUCACUUAGCGGUUUGGCAAAAAGAGAUCGAUAGAAUAAAUACUGAGCUUACAAAGAAUAAGUCCCGGGGUCAAGUUGCUUGAUUAAAGGCGGUGCUCCAGCAUGGCCGCAGUCAAAUGACUGAAACAAGUAAAAGAGUAAAAGAGAGAGAGAAUGUCAGAUACUAAAGUUUCUGGAACACCAUUUCUGGCAGACAUAGUUCUUAGUAUUUUCCUGAUUCCACUUUUUUUUAUUCAUAAAUCUUAUUACUUUUAGUUACCCAGAUUUUGUAUCCACAAGUAUUAAGAGUAGUUUUUAAUUCUUGACAUAAGUAUAUAUUAUUCACUUGCACAUGUAUCAAUGUUUUAAUUCUUUAAUUGCAUAAUUAAAUUUCAUAUUUAUUCCAGCAACGAUAUUAAAUAUCUACUGAAAACUAGAAUUGGCAUUUUCUACAAGUCAAGGUGACUCAAUAAACUUGACAUAUCUCAUCAUCAUCAUCAUUGUUUAACAUCCGCUUUCCAUGCUGGCAUGGGUUGGACAGUUUGACUGAGGGCUGGCGAGCCAGAAGGCUAGACCAGGCUCCAAUCUGAUCUGGCAAAGUUUCUACAGCUGGAUGCCCUUCCUAACGCCAACCACUCCAAGAGUGUAGUGGGUGCUUUUAUGUGCCACUGACACGAGAGCCGGUAUGGCAUUGGCUACGCUCAGAUGGUGCUUUUUAUGUGCCACCUGCACACGAGCCAGUCCAGUGGCACUGGCAACGUCCAUGCUCGAGCUCAGUGGCAAAUAAUUUCCACCAUGACAAAAGAUAGAUUGAUGCAUAAAACUACUUUCUGCAGUUAAGAGUAAUAAAAAUUUUGAGUGGAUAUAUACUGAUUUUCAUGGUAAAAGGACUAAUUUCUUUAGGUCAUACUUGCACCAUGUGAAGUAAUUCUGAAUUUAUUCUAGCAUUUACCAAACAUCUUCUCACAUAAAUAUUCAACAUCUUCAGUUACUUGACCCCUAUACUUCUCAUUACAACUUAUUCCUUGUUCAAACACAAUACACAUCACCAAAAUGCUCCCUAACAGGCUGAUGGAACAUUAUCCCAUCAUCAACUGUUACUCUAAUGAAAAGUGUGCUAAAUGGUCCUUUACCAAUUCAACAAUUACUCCAAUUAUUAUUAUUAUUGUUAUUAUUAUUAUUAAAAUUUCAGUUUAAUGUAUCCCCAUAUAAAAUAUUACCAUUGGCAGUCUUCAACUUUAUAUUUUUAUAAUGUCAGUUUCUACCAGGUGAUAUUCCAACCAUGAUAACUGUUUCUGAUUGAGAUACAAUGUCUGUAGUUUGAGGCACAGGGUAUUAGUUAGUACCACAAAACCCAGUAUUUGACUGAUAUUUUAUUGAUCCCUAGUGGGACGAAAUCAAAGUUGACCUUGGUAGAAAUUGAUCUCAGAACAUAAAGUGUUGGAAGAAAUACUACAAGAAUUUUGUCUGGCUCUCCAAUGAUUCUGCCAGUUUUCUACUUAACAUUCUUGCUACCAUAUUUCCAUUGAGAUGCUCUGUGUUUCUUUCAAUUUUAAAUAUAACAAAGAAUUUAAUAAAUUAACUUAGUUAUCAUUAAUCUAGUGUUAGGAACAUAAAUUGUGACUAAGGUUUGGUGGAAGAUUUUAAUUCAGAACUUUUGAAAACAAGAUAUUUGUACUCCAGGGGCAGUUUCAGGCAGAUUGGUAUCAAAAGGGUUAAUUCUAAUUAUGAUAAUGCAUCAACAUGUUAAAUUUCAGAUGUCUUUACACAAGAUCUUUCAGAAUCUGUUGCUCUUCUUUCAGUAAUACAAUCUUAAAACACAUGCAACUAUUACUUUCAGUAAACCAUAAUUUUUGCUAAAAAUAAAUCCUAACAGCUCUUUUUGUUCAUUUACAUACUUCCUGCGAGUGGUUCUUGGUUUUUUUUUUCUAGAAUUAUCCAAAUGCACUAUUAAGGGGAGAUUUAUUAUUUUUAACCAGCAUGGUUAUUGUUGUGUCACACUAAGUUUAUCUAAAUAAAGCCACAGUCACAUGCAGUCUUCUACAUGAGGAAGUCUUGUUCAAUUGAUCAGCCAAGUUCUCUGACAUUGAACUACUAGUCACCUUCAAUAAUUUUUAUCAACUUGUAAAAUACAUACACUAAUACAACAAUAUCACCAUAAGAAUAACACCACAGAAAUAAUAUCAAAGUUUUAAUGUUAUUCAUUUACUAGGUUUUUUUUCUCUUUUGUAAUUGUUCUAUUUUUGCCUGUUUUUUUUUUCUUUGAGAAGCUGGGAAAUUGAAUAUUCGUUACUUAAUCUGUGUGUGCAUAUAUGUGUGUGACCUCGUGUGUACCAUUGGCGAUUUUUUUCCUCUCUCUUCCCUUCUCUGGAUCUUUCCUUCUCCUAUGUUUCCGACGAAGAGCUCCGCUCGAAACGUUAAACCCUCCUUCUUCCCUUCUUUCCUGAGCGUCCUCGCGUUGUUGUGUUUUUUUGUGUUUUCUUGUUUGGAUUAACUAUAUAUAUAUACUUGAACAUAUGCAGUGUGUGUGUAUGUAUGUAUCUGUGUAAACCUCUGUGUGUGUAAACCAGUGUAUCAAGUUGUGUCCCUUUAUGUCAAAUAUGUAUCUUAGCCGGUUGAUUAAUAAAGGUAUAUAAAAUAAAUACCAAACUAAUAUAAGUAUUGGGAGUUGAUAUGAUUGACUAAAACUGUUGAAGUUGGUACUCCUGUAUGGACUCAGAGAGAGUGAGAGAGAGAGAGAGAGAUGGAUGGAUGGCUAUAUUACCUCACACAUAUGCACAUGCACACUCACACAUAUAUAUAUAUGUAUACUUACUAUGAAUGGGAUAGUUUUUGUUAUAAUGUUUGUCCUUCCUCUUACUUACCACUCACCUGUGAAUUAAUUGCAGAACCUAUUGGCAAUCAAGCAAGAAACAUUGCUAUGCAUCUUAUUGACUGUGCCAAAAGUUUGAACUUAAGACCUUGUGGUUAGCAGUCCACCACCUGAACCCCGCGGCUGUUUAUACAAUUGUGCUUGUAAACAGAAUGCAGAAUAAUCAUCCAUGACUUUGAUUUCCUCUUUGAAAAAUUCUUUAUUCUCAACUCUUAUAACGGAUACAAAUAUAUAAUUCAUUAUGUGCAGUGUUGCACUAGUAAUUUAUGUGCAGUGUUGCACUAGUAAUUUAUGUGCAGCGUUGCACUAGUAAUUCAGAUGCAGUAUCAUGUGCAGAGCUCAUGUUCCUGACAGAUGUUGAUCAAAAUCAAAGUUCAUGCAUUGUAAUAACUACUGGGUGGGCAAUUCCAUCUGCCACAACUUUGCUAAAUCAAGAUAGAUAGGACUCUUUUCUAUAAUUGCUUCUCUCUUUCUCAAUUAAGUCAGACAUUCAUAAAACACACACACAUUAUAUACAGGGCCUCAAAUCAGUCAUUGUAGAGCUUGUAUCAAAUGAUUUUACUUCUGAAAUGGGGUCAUACUGUGCAGCCAGAGGUGGACUGCUGGGUUUGUAUAUUACUUUAACUUGAAAUAUGCUAAUGGCUUUUAAAAAAAGGUAUAUUGACAUUGAAAGCAAACUAUUAAUAUCUCUUCCUUCAGAUUAAUUGUAAAGAAAUCACACAAUUAUAUUUUAUCUAUAAAAAAAACCCAAAAAUUAAAAAUGAAUUUGUAAUCUAUAAUUGGUUUCUUAACUAACAAAUGAAAUGUUUCUGUUCUAGAAGAUAUUUAGAUUUCAUCUCAAUGGAAAUAAUGUAUUUCUUUGAAAGAAAGUUAAUUCUGAUGCCUACAAUCAAAAUAUUGAGAAUAUAUAGUGUUGUUUGGGUUCUGUAAUAUACCAUAUAAAUUUCCAGAUUGCUUAGUUGGCAGAAUACUAGAAUACAAUUUGCCAAUGCACUAAAUUCUCAGAAUCCCUGACCUCUUACUAUAAAUUGGUUCACAGAGAAAUGUAACUCAUAACUGUAGGCAGGAACAUUGUAAAAUUGAGGACUGAUUUGUUAGCUUGCUGUGUUUAAUUUAGUUUCUUUGGGGGAGGAAAUGAGCUUUGACAGACUGCAUUCUCUUACAAUUAAUGUCUUUGGUGAUGCUCUAUGACCGACUUUAGUCAUUGGAAUGCCUCUCUCUCUCUCUCUCUCUUGCCCAAGCUCAACACAAGGUUCUUUGUAUAUUACAAGUAUUCACAAGUGUAUUUAUGUGUGAAUUUAUAAAUUAAAUUUCUAAAUUUUGUUUUGAUUUAAAAUUUUUGCCACUCAUUUUCAAUAUUGGGUUUAAUAUAAUAAAUUACAUUAUUUAUUCCGUUCUAAUAUUUGUAACAACUUUGUUAUGUUUAUUUUGAAGGAAAAGAUAUAAAGCACAAACAAAAUCAGUUUUGUCAUCUACAAUUCAUAUUCGCUAUUUUAAAUACUACUUCAUUUUUUUCCCCUUACUAUGUUUCAAAAACAUGACAACACCAGCACUCACUAAUUUAUCACAACAUAAGCUUCUUUAACAAUUAGAAACUUCACUUCCACCCUUAUUGGUUACUAUUACACAUAGAGGUAUCAGCAUGUACAAGUUGCUCCAAUGACACAUCACAGUGCCUGCAAAAAGAGGAGAAUCAUAUGCACUGGUAUGAGCCAAAAUUUUAUUGCAUAGUCUUCUCGAGUCUUAAGUAUUCAGUUCUCUUCUGCAUAAGUGUUGCUUUAUAAACCCUCUUAUUUUUUAUGGAGAACUGUUUGGAGUAAUGAUGAUGACAGCUUUUAAAAUAGUAAUCUUAUACAUUUUGCAGUAAUAAUGAUACUAACUGGUUCCAUUAGGACAAUCUCAACAAUAUCCUAAAUUAACUUUUUAUGUCUUUUGUGUUUGCUCCCUUGAAAUAUGUCAAAACAAAAAUAUAUCAAAAGUAAAAAAAAGUAAAUGAAAAGUGGUAUUGGUGCUAAUGUCACUAUGAUUUUGGUCUGUUUAAUGAAAUUAUUUUUAAUUUAUCUCAUAAAAUAACUAACUCAAAAUGAUUGCUGUAUUUACUAUUUUUGUUUGAUAAAAAUCUUUUUUAAAUGUUUUAGUUUGAUAAAAAAACAUUUACUCUCUCUAACUAUCUAUACACACACACAUAUUUGUGUGUAUGUAUAUAUAUGUGUGUAUGUAUGUAUAAACACACACACAUAUAAAUAUAUAUAAAAUUGGUGUUGCCCAUGGUGUUGCCAUUCCAUGGAAUGUUUUGCCUGAUUGAAUGCAAAACAAAGAAAAAGAAAGCUUUCUUAUAAAUAGUACAAAAAAUGCACAUUUACUACUUGCAUUUGACAAAAGACAUUUCUAACUAUUCUUUAUCUAAAAAAAAAUCAAUAUCUCUGAAGGAUAAUCUUUAUUCUUUUAUCAAUAUAUUCCCUUCUCUUGAUUUAAUUUGGCUCUUUGAUCUCUCUUCUUAUUUAUUAUUUUUAUUUUAUAAUCAUAUUUUUCUUUUACCUUCAGCCACAGUGUUCACUUUUGUAACUAUACUACAAUACCUAUGUCUCUGAUACCUGCCUUUACCCCUUACUAGUGGUGACUCAUCACUGGUGUUCUUUUUUCUUUAUCAUCAUCACCAUCAUCAACAGCAAGCUGGUAGACCGACAGACAGACAUGCCAGAGUGCUGGACUAAAUGCCUUGCAAUAUCUAGUUUCAUCUGCCAAUGUUCUGAGUUCAAAUGCUGCUGAAGAUGAUGUUUUAUUUUUUGGUUUUUUAUUUUGCCUUUCAUCCCUCCAGUGUUGAUGAAAUAAGUACCAGUCAUAUACUAGGUCGAUUUAAUCAACUAUGAUCCCUCCCUUAAAAUAUCUGUGGCUAUGUGCCAAAAUGAGAAAUCAUCGUCAUUAUCUUGAUGUUUUGAGAAGUACUCAUCUCACAAGAACUGAUAGCCAAUUGGGUAAGGUAACUGGACACUACUUAGUCUCUGGUAUCAAAAGUUCAAUCCCAUUACAAGCAAUGCAAUGUAUUCUUGAGCAAAACACUUCCUUCUACUUGCCGAAGUUAUCAUAACUAAUUAAUAACUCCUGAUGACUAUAUCAUCACUAUCACAAUCGACCAUUACUAUUAUAAUUCAUUACCAUUAUAAUCAUCAUCAUCAUCAUCAUUGUCGUCAUCAUUAUGAUCCUCAUUGACACACAAUUAAGUGUUGAACAUCUGAUUCCUGGCCAAUAUGUUUGUAUCCCACUAUGGGCAUUGUGUCGGUGUUUAUACAGAGUACCUGAUUGCUUAUGUCUAAGGUAUCACAUCUUCAUUAUCAUAAUCAUCAUCACUAUGAUCAUGAAAAUGAUACUUAAAAGAAACCCUUUAUAAACACCAAUCUUUUCUUCAUUGAGUGAAAGCUUAAAAAACAAAUUUAAAUAAUAGUAAAGAUAAAUACUAGUAAUGAUAAGGAGGAUGGUAAUGAUGACUACAAUAAAAAUUUAUAAAAAUGUCUGUAUACGAGUAAUUAAUUUAACUAUUUUUUUUGUCAUGUUAACUAAAAACUCAUUUUGGUUUUCAAAUUGUAAAAUAUUUAUAUUAUUUAUAUCAAUUUAGUAGCAAGAAAAUAGCUGCUGGUGUGAUCCUGUUUUUUUUAUUUUUUGUUUACUUGUUGUUGCUCUGUGUGUGUGUGCGUGU
rnacentral:lncRNA from 1 species